rnacentral:rRNA from 1 species
AUUGAACGCUGGCGGCAUGCCUUACACAUGCAAGUCGAACGGUGAACUCGAGAGCUUGCUCUUGAGGGAUCAGUGGCGAACGGGUGAGUAACACGUGAGUAACCUGCCCCAGACUCUGGAAUAACACCUGGAAACAGGUGCUAAUACCGGAUACGACACGAACAGGCAUCUGUAUCGUGUGGAAAGUUUUUCGGUCUGGGAUGGACUCGCGGCCUAUCAGCUAGUUGGUGAGGUAAAGGCUCACCAAGGCGACGACGGGUAGCCGGCCUGAGAGGGCGACCGGCCAGACUGGGACUGGGACACGGCCCAGACUCCUACGGGAGGCAGCAGUGGGGAAUAUUGCACAAUGGGCGAAAGCCUGAUGCAGCGACGCCGCGUGAGGGAUGACGGCCUUCGGGUUGUAAACCUCUUUCAGUAGGGAAGAAGCGAAAGUGACGGUACCUACAGAAGAAGCACCGGCUAACUACGUGCCAGCCGCCGCCGUAAUAC